rnacentral:rRNA from 1 species
GAUGAACGCUGGCGGCGUGCCUAAUACAUGCAAGUCGAGCGAACGGACGAGAAGCUUGCUUCUCUGACGUUAGCGGCGGACGGCUGAGUAACACGUGGAUAACCUACCUAUAAGACUGGGAUAACUUCGGGAAACCGGAGCUAAUACCGGAUGAUAUUUUGAACCGCAUGGUUCAAUAGUGAAAGACGGUCUUGCUGUCACUUAUAGAUGGAUCCGCGCUGCAUUAGCUAGUUGGUAAGGUAACGGCUUACCAAGGCAACGAUGCAUAGCCGACCUGAGAGGGUGAUCGGCCACACUGGAACUGAGACACGGUCCAGACUCCUACGGGAGGCAGCAGUAGGGAAUCUUCCGCAAUGGGCGAAAGCCUGACGGAGCAACGCCGCGUGAGUGAUGAAGGUCUUCGGAUCGUAAAACUCUGUUAUUAGGGAAGAACAUAUGUGUAAGUAACUGUGCACAUCUUGACGGUACCUAAUCAGAAAGCCACGGCUAACUACGUG